GAUGAACGCUAGCGGCAGGCUUAACACAUGCAAGUCGAGGGGCAGCACGUCUUCGGAUGGUGGCGACCGGCGCACGGGUGCGUAACGCGUAUACAACCUACCUUAUAGAGGGGAAUAGCCCAGAGAAAUUUGGAUUAAUGCCCCAUAGUAUUAUUGAAUAGCAUUAUUUAAUGAUUAAACAUUUAUGGCUAUAAGAUGGGUAUGCGUUCUAUUAGCUAGAUGGUAAGGUAACGGCUUACCAUGGCAACGAUAGAUAGGGGUCCUGAGAGGGAGGUCCCCCACACUGGUACUGAGACACGGACCAGACUCCUACGGGAGGCAGCAGUGAGGAAUAUUGGACAAUGGGCGAGAGCCUGAUCCAGCCAUGCCGCGUGCAGGAAGACGGCCCUAUGGGUUGUAAACUGCUUUUAUACGGGAAGAAACACUCCUUCGUGAAGGAGCUUGACGGUACCGUAAGAAUAAGGAUCGGCUAACUCCGUGCCAGCAGCCGCGGUAAUAC
rnacentral:rRNA from 1 species